UACGUAGCAAAUAGGGUAAACGUCCCUAUUAAGCCCACGUACCAUAUAAGCCCACUUGCAACUUCUGAGUCAAAUCAAAAAAAACUACAUCAUCAUUUUUUGCUGUGUGAUGUUUUUUCAAAUGAAGCUGCUUGUUACGUAAAUGACACUUUUUAUUGUAAGUCAAUCACAUUUAUCGAUAUUGAGUUAUCGAAGCACAUGUGUGGCAUGUGCCUGCUGAUCCCAGAAGAAGUUGCAAAAAAACUUAGGGUAUAUUUCUACUCCUGUUUUUGGAAAGUACUCACUUGUUAUCAAAAUUUAAGUGAUUAGUGUUUUGAAUGAGACAUAUGUUAGAAUAUUACCUGAAUUAGAAAUAUUGUGUCUUUUGAAAUCAAAAUAUGAGUUUUAGCACGCUAGCAAACAGACCACAUGCUGCAUCAAUACAGUAGCUACAUAGUAUGGUUCAUUGCAAUGACAUAAAGCAUGAUAAGCAUGUAUAGUUUAUAUUUUUGUAUGCAGUUUAUAUUAUUAUACUGUUAAAUAGACAAUAAAUGUGUAUGUUUA